GCUUGUCUCAAAGAUUAAGCCAUGCAUGUCUAAGUAUAAAUGGUAUACAGUGAAACUGCGAAUGGCUCAUUAAAACAGUUAUAGUUUAUUUGGUAAUCGAAUUUACAUGGAUAACCGUGGUAAUUCUAGAGCUAAUACAUGCUAUCAAGCCCGACUUCUUGAAGGGUUGUAUUUAUUAGACUUAAGCCAAUAUUCCUUGUGUCUAUUGCGAUGAUUCAUAAUAACUGAUCGAAUCGCAAGGCCUUUGGCCGCGAUAAGUCAUUCAAGUUUCUGCCCCAUCAGCUUUCGAUGGUAGUGUAUUGGACUACCAUGGCGUUCACGGGUAACGGAGAAUUAGGGUUCGAUUCCGGAGAGGGAGCCUGAGAAACGGCUACCACAUCUAAGGAAGGCAGCAGG
rnacentral:rRNA from 1 species